rfam:Angiostrongylus cantonensis strain Taiwan genome assembly, scaffold: ACAC_scaffold0004355
GAGAUCAUGCUAUACAGAAUCGUUUCUGUAGUAUGUGUUUCACAGUCCCAGCCAAGCUGCGACGCAUGUCCGCCGCGAUGAAAGGGAUAAGGGCGAGUUGCGAGCGGGAAGAGAGCGGAAACGCGUUGAUGACUGCGGCACUGCAGCAAUGCAGGGCCAGCGACUCGCUCAUCUGAGCGGU